rnacentral:rRNA from 1 species
AGUGAACGCUGGCGGUAGGCCUAACACAUGCAAGUCGAACGGCAGCACAGGAGAGCUUGCUCUCUGGGUGGCGAGUGGCGGACGGGUGAGGAAUACAUCGGAAUCUACUUUUUCGUGGGGGAUAACGUAGGGAAACUUACGCUAAUACCGCAUACGACCUACGGGUGAAAGCAGGGGAUCUUCGGACCUUGCGCGAUUGAAUGAGCCGAUGUCGGAUUAGCUAGUUGGCGGGGUAAAGGCCCACCAAGGCAACGAUCCGUAGCUGGUCUGAGAGGAUGAUCAGCCACACUGGAACUGAGACGCGGUCCAGACUCCUACGGGAGGCAGCAGUGGGGAAUAUUGGACAAUGGGCGCAAGCCUGAUUCAGCCAUACCGCGUGGGUGAAGAAGGCCUUCGGGUUGUAAAGCCCUUUUGUUGGGAAAGAAAUCCAGCUGGUUAAUACCCGGUUGGGAUGACGGUACCCAAAGAAUAAGCACCGGCUAACUUCGUGCCAGCAGCCGCGGUAA